CUAUCACAACUUAAAAGAUAGGGGUAAUUACUUAUAUACCCCUGAAAAGUUUCCGAUUUUCUGAUUUAUCCUUUUUAGAAGGCUAAUAUUGAAAAUAUCUUUUUUACGUUCCAACCUAUUUUAAGUAUACUCAAAAUCGGUUAAUAAAAUCUGUUAUCUCUAUAAAAUUACUAUUUUAUCCUUUCAAAUAUAUUCUUUUAUCAUCAGUGACUUUUUUUUAUUUGCCCUUAAGUUAAGAGUACAAAAAGUAUUUUGCUUUUUGGUCUUUUCAAAUAUACCCUUCUAUCUUCACCAAUAUUUUUUAUUUACCCUUAAGUUGAGGGCAAAAAUGGUAUUUUAUUAUUAUUAUUUUUUAACUGUGCUAGAUAUUUAAUUCACGUUUAAUUCAAGUUAACUUAACAGGUGAUAACGGCAGGGGUAUUUUAGAAUAACAGAUAAACAUAUGAGGGGUAUAUUGAAAAGAAAAAAAAAAAGUAUGAGUAAAUAAGAUAUUUUCAAAAUUUUAAGAGGUAUAUAGAUAAUUAU
rnacentral:lncRNA from 1 species